AGUAGAGUGACUGAUGCGUCUCCUUCUGAGGAACACACAAGAACCUCUAAGAAUAUCUUUAUCUUUGGGUGAAGAUCUUAGAACUCAUUGGAAGGUAAGUUGGAUUAUGAUACUUUAGUGUCAAAGUUUCCCAAAAAUACAUUGAUACAUAAAUUGCAUUUUCUAAUUUCUGAAGAUACAUAAGAAGGAGGAAAGGGUGAAUGGGACAAGCUAAUACUGUGUUGCAGAUUUGUGGGUAAUGUCUAUUGCCUUUUCCUGAGAACCUUAUUCAGCUCAUUGUGUUUGUUACCUGACAAUCAGAGAACGUGAGCAAUACUAACAAGGUUAAAAAACACAAACCAUUCCUUCCCCAUAAAUUUAAAGAGCUACUCCUGAUCUCCAAAGGCUCUGUGGUAUAAAAUAUUCCAGCAGAAGAGGCCAUGUGGAAAAACAAAGCUCAGUAAAAGCCAACCAACUGAAAAAGGUGACUGCCCAGGAUCCUAAAUCUCAGAGAAAAUACUGUGAUCAGGACUCAGCUUCCUCAGGUGCUCAAGAAAGAAGUGAUGCUCUUGGAUCAUAGAAUCAACCAGGUUGGAAGAGACCUCCAAGCUCAUCCAGUCCAACCUAGCACCCAGCCCUGGCCAAUCAACCAGACCAUGGCACUAAGUGCCCCAGCCAGGCUUGGCUUCAACACCUCCAGGGACAGCGACUCCACCACCUCCCUGGGCAGCCCAUUCCAAUGUCAAUCACUCUCUCUGGGAAGAACUUCCUCCUAACAUCCAGCACUGAAGCUGACCUAGGCUGAGAUUCCCAAAUUCUAAUACACAUGUGCUACAGCAAAGUAUCCUUUGUUCCUGUCUAGUCAAACACAUUGUCCUGGCCAAUACUGAAAACUAUUGUCGCUGCAACUUCUGCUACCUCUACCCACAGUGGCUACAGCCAUACUUAGCAAGAUGCUAUGAGAACCACUGAUCUGAAUGGACAUACUUCAGCUAAAACUGAGAGAUCACUUGCGAUGUUAAGAGCAGUCUCUUUUGCUUCUUCACCUCUGAGCUCCAUGAAGGCAACUGCUUGUAGUCUCAUAAGAACUCUGUCAUACAAUCCAACGUGGCCAAUGCAAAUGCUCAACAUACUCAGAUAAGUAUAAAGGAAAAACCAAUAUAAGCAAUAAGUCAGUAACAUGUCAUGCAGGUAGAGUAGUGUAUUAUGAGAAUUAAAAGAGAAGAAAAAGAAGAAAACAGCUUGAACAGAGUAAUUUCUAGGAAGACCAAAGAAAAUGCUUGGAGGAAUGUCUGCCUUCCCAGCAUAAUAGAGAGUGAACGUGUCUGACCGUGUACAUUCAAUGGUCACUAGCUGCCAAGAAGAAAUAAACUCCCUCUGUCUUUCUCUAGUGUGUAUAUUGAGUGGAUUGUCUUAAAGCUGGAUCACUUUCUGCUAACUGAUUCAGGAUAAAGGAUAGGAAAAAGCGCACUUCCCACACCACCAAGAGCCUGUUUACUAAAGAGCGGGACCUGAUGAGGACGCAGUGCACUAAUGUUUGUGACUUGCUCUAUUCCUGCUAUAUAAUGGUUCUCUACCACUGCAAAAACUUUGAACUGAUGCAUUCAUGCUGUUUUUCCCGGUCCUAGCACAAUGCAUUGCAGCAGUCCUGGUUCAUUAUAUAUGAUUCAUUUUAACAAAUGCUACACCAAGGGUUGGGAGCUGGAAAAAAACCCAAACUGUUCUAAUAAGUGUUUUGGUAGGGCAGAAAUCCUGCCGAACUGAUUUUGGCCACUGCUUUCCUCCUCCCGCGUCAGGGUCUGAAAGUUGAGUUGAUGGGCAGACAAACAAUGGAGGGUUUGGCCCCAGCAAAGCUGCACCCCGAGGGCCAGGAGGCCAUCACCACUGUGUGUGCUGCUGCCCCUCGACAUGCCUGCGUCGUCGCAGGAGAGGAGCUUUGAAUUUGUUGGCCAAAACAAUAAUGCUAGUGCCUAUUGGCCAGUUUCAUUUGCAGGAUGAUGUCUUUGAUGGAGGUGUGAUGUAGAGGCCAGGCCGUGCAGCGCUGACUCUCCGCCCGAGAAGCACCCAAUUCACGGCUCCUGUAACUGGGAACCGCGGCAGCCACUGCCUGCAGCUCGCAGCAGCAAUCCAGUUUCCUCUGCCUCUCUCUCUGCCUUGAAUAUUCUGUAUUUUUACUCCCGGGAUCACAGUUGCGGUUUUGGAAGUGUCUUUAUGUGGGAAACACACCCAGGGAACCAGCAGGUUGUGAGUGUACGUGCCUGCAGUAUAGCUUUGGAUUUUUCCUGGUUUACUUCCCUAUUUUCCAAGUUCUGAUUGUUUAAUUCUGUAUUA